CCUACGGGAGGCAGCAGUGGGGAAUAUUGCACAAUGGGCGCAAGCCUGAUGCAGCGACGCCGCGUGCGGGAUGGAGGCCUUCGGGUUGUAAACCGCUUUUGUUCAAGGGCAAGGCACGGUCGUCGGCCGGGUGGAGGGGAUGGUUCGAAUAAGCACCGGCGAACUACGUGCCAGCAGCCGCGGUAAUACGUAGGGUGAAAGCGUUAUCCGGAGUGAUUGGGCGUAAAGGGCUCGUAGGCGGUGCGUCGCGUCCGGUGGGAAAGGCCAUCGCUUAACGGUGGAUCCGCGCCGGGUACGGGCGUGCUUGAGUGCGGUACGGGAGACUGGAAUUCCC
rnacentral:rRNA from 1 species